rnacentral:lncRNA from 1 species
GCUCCUGAUCCCGAUAGCAGCAUCAGCCGGCGGGUCUCGCUCCAGUUUUUGCAUCCAUUCCAUCUCCUUCCUGGGGCUCAGAAUCAGAGGACUCCCUUCCUUCUGCCUCUUUAUACAUUACCCUCUUGCGACUUCAUCACUCAGAUGGAGAAAGGCAAAGGAACAUGGAAUUGGGAAGGUGCCAAGAAACCAAAAGAUCCCAAGGGACUGCCCAGCUGGAACAGAACAUGGGAGACCAGCUGAAGACUGGAGAAAAAUGAGAAGGGUUAUCAGCUGAAAUGUCUCAUGUAUGAGUACUCUCAAGGGAUGUGCACAGGAAGGUCUUAAGAGGAGAAGAAAGUUCCUGGAUUUUUGGAAGAACCCAUGUGAGUCAGUGCAUUUCAGAAAAGCAGCAGGGGAGUCUUAGGGAACAGGCAGAAAAGAUCCAUUCCCAAGAUAAGGGAUCUGGGGAACCUCAUUUUAAUCGACCCUAAAACUAGACCAAGUUUUGAG